rnacentral:sRNA from 1 species
GAAAAAGUUUCCUAUCAGGUUUGCUCACCUUUGAAUUUUAAUUAUGAGGUGAUGCCUUAUUAUGACGGUUUACGAAUCUAUCAUGAUUAUGAUUAAUUUCUCUUCGCUCUUGUUAAAUGCAGUAGGUUUAUUUGUUGUUAAUCGAAAACGGAAAACAGACCUAACCCUCAAGCCUCAGAAACUGAAAGGUUAGAUCUACCAUGUUUUCACAACGAGCAAACCUUUGAUGGACAACUUUUUCAAAAAGCCAGGGUGCCACCAACACCUUGG